rnacentral:lncRNA from 1 species
AUGCUCUGUAUGUAUUUAUUUAUUGGGAAUACUGCACUGAAGAACCACUGCUGCAGGACUCUUGUAGUACUUUCAGCACUUUUUGUCCCUCUAGGUGACCAAGUCACAUAUGCUGAGGUGAAUGUGACAUGGAGAUCGGACACACCUGACAGCACACCCAAAACGACACAUUCAGCGGCCUGCUGGGAGAGCUCCCCCUGGUGCUUCGCUGUCUUCGCCCUGUGUUUCUGCGCCGCGGUUCUGCUCCUGGCAGUCAUCCUGCUGGCGGUGAGGUGUUACAGCCGCUGACCCUGCUGCGACGGGGUAAGCCCUCCCAGCCCUGCCUUCCCAUGCAAUCCCUCGGCACUCGGCACAGCAAGCUCCCAAACCAAAGGCUGGUGGUUUUAGGCAGCCAUGAGCUUCAGCUUCAGUGUGGUGCUCUCAUUCUAGCAGCUUUUGUCUCUUUUAUUUCCAGAUAAGUCAGCACAGGAAUGUUCUGCUUCAUCGAGAUGGGAUGUAGUGCUCGUAUUAUUUGACAUCAUUUUGGCUGAAGAGACAAAAUGAAAAGAUGCCAUCAGUCUGAUCACUCUCCUGUUAGGUCAUCCCAGGUCUCUGUUAAACCUCUCACCUCUCCAUACAUGGACAAGACAUAUAUUAAUUUUUAUUUGGAAUUUUCUUAAUCCAACUACAUCAGCGCAUGUACCAAGACACGGGCUCAACCUCCUGCAUCAAAAGGUGGAUUUGGGCCUAGGUUAGACAACAAAAAUGAGGUGGAAACAUACUUUUAAUUCACAUCUGACUUGAUUCUGCCCUGAUGUGGAAUGCAGACAAGAUUUUGGAUUAUAUGCAAGUACAAAAACUCAUGGACCAAACAGGGAAUGUGAAAGGUUGCACUGAGCUUUUUUAUAAAGCCUGGGCUUUAUAAACUUGAUUUUUCUUCUUCUGACAGCCUUUAGUUAGAUUUGUAGGAAAGGGAUAUUGAAGGUUCAAGAAAUGUUGUUAGCAGAGAAGUCUCAGUUUCAUCUCCUCAUUGGCUUGAAUUAAAUUAUUCUGCUCCACCUGUCCAGAAGAGCAUCUCACAAUAUACUGUUUCUGUCUCGGGGCAGUAAUUGAUUUUUGUAUUUGUUAGGAUUUUUUUUUUUCCCCACGUGCCAUAGCUUAAGUUAAAUCUGAGUCCUCCACUGGAACUGAAGCACCUGAAGUUCAAAUGCAUUUGUUUGUAAUUAUGACCUUAUUGUCUGUUUUUAUAUUAUGUUUGGAUCUUAUCCAUUUUCUUC